rnacentral:pre_miRNA from 1 species
UGUGAGAUGACAUGCUUCUUUAUAUCCCCAUAUGGAUUAUGCUGCUAUGGAAUGUAAGGAAGUGUGUGGUUUCAGG